rnacentral:tRNA from 1 species
CCGUCAUUAGCUCAGCAGGAAGAGCGGUUAAUUUUUGUUAACGGUGCGGGGUUCAAGCCCUCGAUGACGGUCCA